ACUAUACGCGGGAAGCAGGUCUAAAAUGGAUAAAUCCGAGUCGUUAUUUUGAUUCAAGACCUGUGAGUAAUGCUCCAUCCAUCUCUAGCACUGUGUAAGGCUCUAGGUGAAUUAAUAAUUUAUGUAAUUCCCUUUUGAAAACAUAUCUGUUGUCCAUUUGUUUGAAUCUUCUAGGAAGCUUAUUAAACAGCUUCAUACAAACGUACUCGGCACCCCUCUCUGUAGCUGAAAGUCUAUGGAUAGGGUACACAAAAUCGGAGCUUCUACUAGAAUGAGAUGGUAAAUUUUCCCUGAAAUAUUCUCGAUUCUUGAAAAGAAACAUGAGACAUUCCUCAAUAUUUAGUGCAGCAAAUGUCAACAAACCACAACUCCUAAAGAAACCCCUACAAGUUGCUCUAUAGCUCAGUUUAUUGAUGACUUUAUGGCCCUCUUUUGAAUUCGGAAUAUUUCAUCUGAAGCUUUGACACUUCCAUAAAAAAUAACUCCAUACCUGAGAAGUGAUUCGAAACAUGAGAAAUAAAUCAUCUUCAAACCACAUCCGCCCAAAUACUGCGACAUCACCCUUAAAGUGUAGCAUACUGAAUUUAAUUUCUUGUUGAGUUUGUCGAUAUGAACGUCCAUUAUAAGGUUUCAUCAACUAUCAAUCCCAGUAAUCUCGCAUCAGUACUCACACCAACAUCCACUCCAUUUAGGCUUACCUGGUAGGAAUAUUCAACGUUGCUUCUCUCAGUUUUGAAAAAGACACAAUCAGUUUUUCUGUGAUUCAAUAGAAGUCCCUCAUUACAUAUCCAGUCUGAUAAAGCUUCAUAAAUUUCAUUUAAUUUUGCAAUUAAGGUAUUAAGGUCUUUCGCAGCUACUAAAAUAUUCUUAUCAUCUGCAUAAUCACAAAAAAAAACAAUUCAAACUGGCAACUGAUAUAGGAGCAUCAUUUAUAUAAAUAAUGAAUAAGAUUGGUUCCACUAUGCUGCCCUGUUGAAUACCUAUUUCAACAGGUUCUGGAUUAGAUCUAUAGGAGAUUCCUUCCCCUGUAAUGAUUGUCUGCUGAUAUCUCCCUGAAAGGUAUGAUCCCGACCAUGCGAGCAAAGCACCAGCAAUUCCAUACCUUUUCAGUUUUUUCAAUAAAACCCUAUGACUCACACAAUCAUACGCCUUUGUAAGAUCCAAGAAAAGUCCCAUUACUUGAUUUUUUUCCUCCAAAGCUUGCAAAAUUUUCUCUGUAAACUCCAAAAUGGCAGUGUGAGUUUCUCCCUUUCAAAUAUGCAUGCUGGCUCUUUGUCAACAAAUCAUUUGUUAUAAAGUACUCCAUUAAUCUGCUACUCACACAUUUCUCAAAAACUUUUGAAAAACUAGGUAAUAAACUUACUGGCCUAUAGUUUUCAAUCUCUGUAACGUUCCCUUUCUUGUGUAGAGGUUUAACCGUUGCUAAUUUUAACGCAUCUGGAAAAAUUCCUGAUUCAAAAGAUGACUUUAUGGCAUAUGUUAACGGUGUACUGAUCUCAUGAAUCCAAAAUUUUAUGAGUGAUGUUGAAAUUUCAUCAUAUCCACUGCUGUGCUUAUUUUUGAGGCUUUUUACUGAGGCUAUUAUUUCUUCUUCUGUUAUUUUUUUGAACCGCAUGGACCUAUCGGCCUGUUCAAAAUAAGGAACAUGAUCUUCUUCGAUGGAAUGGGGCACCAUGUUGAUUGCUGAAGUUGAAAAAUAUUUAUUGAAUUUGUCUGCAGUAUCCUUUCCGUCACCUUCCACCUGUAUAUCUCUAGGAGCAUUUGAUCCCUCCUUUAUGCUAUUCAUUAUAGACCAUGUAGUUUUGGAUUUGUUAUCGGAUUCAUCUAUCUAUCUAUCUUGUGUUGGUGAUAUGCACCCUUUCUUCUUGCUAACAUUUUCUCAUAAGUUAUUUUUGCAUCCUUAUAUUGUUGUCUGAAAGCUGCAUUUACAGGGCUAAUAACAUAUAAUAUGUCCAGUUGCCUUUUGCAUUCUUGAAUACCGGGAUCCACCAUAUUCUGUUUAAACACUUUCUUUCUCAGUUGUAUCUUCUUUAUUGGAAAGCUCAUAUCAAAGUAGUGUCGAAAUAUACUGUAAAAUCAGGAAAGAAAGAAUAUAUUGGGAGUGUUGGACACUGUUUAUUAUCUAUUGUUCACUGUGUAACAAUGCCGACGUUUCGAAACAAAUCGUUUCUUUUCCAAGGCUGUAAAUAAAUACAAAAAGUAUACUAUAAGACACACAAUAUGACAUAACAUGAAAAUAAAUUACCUAGUUACGAGAACAAUAUUGUACGCUUUUUAAAAACAUUAGGAUUUAACAAAGAAAUCAAAAUCUCUUGGAGAGCAGACAUACAAUCCCAUCACUUUAUCAGUUUCUAUAUUUAUGAUAAUGACAUCAACAUAAGGUUACAAAAUAUUGAUCAGGAAUGGUCUUAACACUAUUGACGAGGCCAGCCAUUACUUAUUACUUAUUACUUUCUAAGUAUAUUAUUAUAGAUCGUGCUUAGGUGUUGCACAUCUUCUCUAUGAUUGACGGUAUAAUUUCUUUUUAUGUGUAUCAUCUCGCUUAUAUUACGUCUAUAACCAACCUCUUCUCUAUCAAGAAUUUUUACAUCUUCAAAAUUAAAUUUAUGGCCCAUAGUCAUUUGAUGUAAAGUUAAAGCAGUUUUGUUAAAAUUUGCAAUAUUUUCACUAUCAUAUUUAUGUUGUUUCAUCCUAUCGCGUAAAUACUGUUUUGUUUGGCCAAUGUAACACUUGUUACAAUUGGCACAGGGUAUCUUAUAUACUACUCCUGAUUCUAAAUUAUAAGGUGUUUUAAAUUUCAAAUUUGUGAAAAAUCUCUUUGUGGUCAAUAAGUUGUAAAAGGCACACUUGACAUUCAACUCCUUAAAUAUUUUAUUUAUUCUGUGAGAAAGACCAGGUAAGUACGGAAACCUAAAGUAGGAAGAAAUAGACGAGCUAGAAGGAACAUUAACUAUAUGACUUCGGUUGGAUGUGUGUUUAUUUAUUAUUCUUUUGACUAAGUAUGUAGGAUAGUUAUUCUGCUUCAAAAUAUUUUCAACUUUAUCUAAGUUCUUCCUAUGAAACUUUUUGUUGCUUAGUUUUAAAGCUCUUUUAAUUAAAUUAAGUUUUUUUUUGCAUGCUAUGACUGCUGUAAAAAUUAUGCAUCUGUUAGUGCUUAUUGCUUUAGUGUACCAGUCAGUAAUAAUACUGACUGAUUUUGAAGAUGUAAAAAUUCUUGAUAGAGAAGAAGUUGGUUAUAGACGUAAUAUAAGCGAGAUGAUACACAUAAAAAGAAAUUAUACCGUCAAUCAUAGAGAAGAUGUGCAACACCUAAGCACGAUCUAUAAUAAUAUACUUAAAAAGUAAUAAGUAAUGGCUGGCCUCGUCAAUAGUGUUAAGACCAUUCCUGAUCAAUAUUUUGUAACCUUAUGUUGAUGUCAUUAUCAUAAAUAUAGAAACUGAUGAAGUGAUGGGAUUGUAUGUCUGCUCUCCAAGAGAUUUUGAUUUCUUUGUUAAAUCCUAAUGUUUUUAAAAAGCGUACAAUAUUGUUCUCGUAACUAGCCUUGAAAAAGAAACGAUUUGUUUCGAAACGUCGGCAUUGUUACACAGUGAACAAUAGAUAAUAAACAGUGUCCAACACU